rnacentral:rRNA from 1 species
GUGAGGAAUUUUCCGCAAUGGGCGAAAGCCUGACGGAGCAAUGCCGCGUGAAGGAUGAAGGCCUAUGGGUUGUAAACUUCUUUUCUUAGAGAAGAAUAUUGACGGUAUCUGAGGAAUAAGCAUCGGCUAACUCUGUGCCAGCAGCCGCGGUAAGACAGAGGAUGCAAGCGUUAUCCGGAAUGAUUGGGCGUAAAGCGUCUGUAGGUGGCUUCAAAAGUCUCCUGUCAAAGAUCAGGGCUUAACCCUGGGCCGGCAGGAGAGACUCUGAGGCUAGAGUUUGGUAGGGGCAGAGGGAAUUCCCGGUGGAGCGGUAAAAUGCGUAGAGAUCGGGAGGAACACCAAAGGCGAAAGCACUCUGCUGGGCCACAACUGACACUGAGAGACGAAAGCGAGGGGAGCAAAAGGGAUUAGAAACCCUGGUAGUCC